AGAUUGUUCUUUUCUCGGUUCUUCCUGCAUGGAACUCUGAGCAGUUUGUGGUCAUUCUCUUUUAUUCUAUCAAUCCUCUACCCGCUGUGGGCUCCAUCCUCCCUAGUUGGGAAAGAUAGGCUUGGAGAAGCUCACCUGAACUUCUUUCAUGCCCCAGAGUCCCAUUUAGGGAAUGGUUCCUACAGGUCCCUAGGGAAACACAACAUUCAUGGAGGAAAAGCGUUAAGGCAGCUUUCAGAAGCAUUUCAUUUCCAACUAGAGCUCAGCUUUGGCCCUGAACAAAGAGGGCUUACUAGCUAUUAGGCUGAAACAAUUGGCCAACCCACUCCCAGAAUUUGCCUGGAAAACCCCUGUUGGAGAAUUCGAGGGAUGAAAGUCAUGCUGGGGUGACAAAGCAUAUGCAUGAAGAACCCCCACCCCCAGAAUUGACAAAUUACCCCAGAAGAAACACAGGUCACCAGAUCUCCACCAGCUGAAAUGCUGGCAUGCAGUAACUCAGCUAAAUCCAUGCUCCAGAAACUCCCCAAAUGAGAGAAAGUCAUGUGAGCCCAUAUGGUCAAUCUGAGCUGGAUGAGAGAAGAUAGUAGUCUCAUUUUCCCAUCUAUAGAUUUUUAUGCUCCCUUUGGUUGGUAAUUUACAUUUAUAUAGACUCUUUCAAACUCUGGGUUCUAAAAUGGCUUUGCUGGCUUAUAUGUAUAGGGUCCCACUUUGCAUCAGCAGUUUGCUCUGUAGAUGUAAACAAAACCUGACCAUCUGUAUUUAAAUAAAAUCACGUGGCUCAGUUUUAACCUGGUCAUUUUAAGCCAUUACCAUACUUGAGUGAAUUCCCCUGAGUGCUUUUUUAAGGUACAUAAAUGCAAUGCAUGGUGCUACUGAAGAAACCCUUUAGUCUGAUUCCAUCUUGAUGCCAGGAGGCCCUGUAGCUGUAUGUCCUCCAUGAUUUAUGUAUGAAUGUAAAAAGAUGUGAUACGGCUGAUAAAAAUACAGGUUUUAUCUGAUUUCGGCUCUGUUCAGAAACCACCGGUUUCUCUGGAGUCUUGUAUUUCCCGCCCACCGUGGCCAGCAUUUUACGGUGUUAAUCAGAUUUUGCUGUUUUUCUUCACACUGAGUCCCUUCCCUAUCCAUUCCACCCUCUUGACUCUUAUCCUCCCACCCUCACCUUCAUGGUGCAUGGGCCUAUUAAAUGGUGUCCAGUCCAAUUUCUGGCACCCAAUAAAUCUAAAUUUUCAAGCUUGGGAAGCCAGGCUCACCUACUGGCACCUAGAUAAAUGAGUCCUCCAUGAGAAACCUACACCGGUCAUUACUCAAGACUUCUGAAACCCCACCACUGGAUUUCAGGCCAGAGAAAGUCAAGUCCUCCUUUCAGCCUUCAUUCUCCAAAAAAGAAAAUAACCCACAGCCCAGGGCCUCGCCUUCAUCUACAUCUCCAGUCCCUCCAUCUGGAUGCUCAGACUGAAUCCCAGCCUCCCACUUGCAGCAUCCUGCCGGCUCCUACGUCACCCCGUCAGGUCACCCCAUCAGCUCUGCAGCUUUGAAAUGAGACUUAAUAUCCGGCACACGCGCCUGCGCUGCUCAGCUCGCCGGGGCUCCAAGCCUGAAGAUGAACAAAGAGCCUCCGUGAACUGUUUCAUUGUUUGCAACAAGCACAACCAAGAUGGGCUUCUCUCCCUAGCCCACUCUGCGGUGAAUCCCCCACUUUGUGUGGGAGGACUGUUAAUGACCGAAAUCUACACUCCAUCUAAUAGACAAAGGCUCUGACAUUGUCUCCUGCAGGAGAAGGGGGAUCUUGGGGUCAGGGACGUUUGAACCCAGGUUGGUUUCCUGGAAAAGUGGUGGGAAGGAGGAGCCAAGAGCCGGGGCUGCUGGGGAAGCAACAGGAGCUCAGGGCUGUGUUUCAUUCCAGGAGGCGAGACCUGGAGGUGGUGGGAAGUUGGGGACUAUUUGUAUUUACUUGUUAUUUUGACUUGUGAAAUUACUCCCUUUCAUUCCACCAGCCUUCUGCCUCUGCACAAUAAAAAUUAAUUACAAUGAAUUAGAACCUUUAAAAACCACGCUUAAUAGUAGCUCAGAGACAGCCCCUCCUCUGGCCCCUCACUAGUCUACAGCUCAACAUCUGAUCAAUCUGGCAAGAACAAUUUUAAAAGGAAAAAGUACCUGCUUUUGGCUUCUAUGAAUAAAUCUGGGAACUAAUAGGAUACUGUGAUGGUUAAUGUUAUGUGUCAGCUUGGCUGGGCUAGAGUACCCAGUUAUUUAAUCAAGCACUGAUCCAUGUGUUGACUGGAUGGGUAUUUUGUAAAUACGGUUACCAGCUACAGUUGACUGACUGAGUAGAUUACCCUGAAUAAUGUGGGUGGGCCUUGUCCAAUCAGUUGAAGUUCCUAAGAGAAAGCCCUGAGGUUUCCCAGAGAAGAAAAAAAAAAAAUUCUGCCUCAAGACUGCAUCAACUUCUGCCCAAGUUUCCAGACUAUUGGCCUGCCCUGUAUUCCUUGAAAUAAAUCACACAUAUAUUUGUGUGUGUGUAUAUAUAUAUAUAUAAACAUAUACAUCUGAUCUAUAUCUGUAUCCCUAUAUAUUGCUGAUUCUGCUUCCCUGAAGAACCCUGACUCAUACAGCUAUUUAGAAAGCUUAUACUGAAUUCGAAUUGCUCAUUGUGUAACUUUUGGAAGGAGGACUGCUCUUCUUCAUUUCCUGAACAUGAAGUCUUGUGCUGUGGACAUAGUAGGUGCUUAGUAAAUGUUCAUUGAAGGGACUGGAAACCCAAAGAAGCCCCAUAAUGCUUUUCUCAACUUCUACUGCCCCAUUUUCAAAUGGAAACAUUUGCUCCCUCCCAUCCACUUGGGACUCAUCAGCUCUACUUUGCUGACCAGCUCUUCUCUGGAUGUUCCUAUCACGUUGUCAUUCACUGAAGCCUCCAUCACUCUCUACUUUAACACCUAUCAACUAAACCAUAUCUUCCCCAAAGGCUUCACUGCAGAGGGGCCAGGCUCAUAGCUUACUCUUGCUUCCUUGAAGCUUGUGUGUAGGAUUCUUUAGGCUUAUAUUAAUUGUGCUUUGCUUCACCUGACAUCUUAAAAUGAUGUUGUCUGU
ensembl:lncRNA